rnacentral:rRNA from 1 species
GACGAACGCUGGCGGCGUGCCUAAUACAUGCAAGUAGAACGCACAGUUUAUACCGUAGCUUGCUACACCAUAGACUGUGAGUUGCGAACGGGUGAGUAACGCGUAGGUAACCUGUCUGGUAGCGGGGGAUAACUAGUGGAAACGAUAGCUAAUACCGCAUAAUACUGAUUAUUGCAUGAUAAUUAAUUGAAAGGUGCAAUUGCACCACUACCAGAUGGACCUGCGUUGUAUUAGCUAGUAGGUGAGGUAACGGCUCACCUAGGCGACGAUACAUAGCCGACCUGAGAGGGUGGGCGGCCAGCCUGAGACUGAGACCCGGCCCAGAGUGCUACGGGAGGCAGCAGUAGGGAAUCUUCGGCAAUGGGCGAAAGUCUGACCGAGCAACGCCGAGUGAGUGAAGAAGGUUUUCGGGUCGUAAAGCUCGGUUGUAAGGGAAGAACGGGUGUGAGAGUGGAAAGUUCACACUGUGACGGUAUCUUACCAGAAAGCGACGGCUAACUACGUG